UACGUAGGGCGCAAGCGUUAUCCGGAAUUAUUGGGCGUAAAGAGCUCGUAGGCGGUUUGUCGCGUCUGCCGUGAAAGUCCGGGGGCUCAACUCCGGAUCUGCGGUGGGUACGGGCAGACUAGAGUGAUGUAGGGGAGACUGGAAUUCCUGGUGUAGCGGUGAAAUGCGCAGAUAUCGUAAGGAAGACCAGUGGCGAAGGCGAGUCUCUGGACAGCAACUGACGCUGAGGCACGAAGGCCAGGGGAGCAAACGGGAUUAGAAGUACCCUGGUAUCCC
rnacentral:rRNA from 1 species